rnacentral:rRNA from 1 species
UACGUAGGGUCCGAGCGUUGUCCGGAAUUAUUGGGCGUAAAGGGCGCGUAGGCGGUUUGCACAGUCAGACGUGAAAUUCCUGGGCUCAACCUGGGGGCUGCGUUUGAUACGUGUAGACUUGAGUGCGGAAGAGGGUCGUGGAAUUCCCAGUGUAGAGGUGAAAUUCGUAGAUAUUGGGAAGAACACCGGUGGCGAAGGCGGCGACCUGGCUCGAUACUGACGCUGAGGUGCGAAAGCGUGGGGAGCAAACAGGG